rnacentral:lncRNA from 1 species
UAGAAAUCAGAAAAGUGGUUGCCUCUGAAAGGGGCUUUGGGAAGGGCAGGAAGGAUCUUUAUUGGGGUAGGGGUUACAUGGGUUAGAAUGGUGCAAUGGUUUGGAUAUUUGACCCCUCCAAAUCUUAUAUUGAAAUGUGAUCCCUAAUGUUGGAGGUAAGACCUAAUGGGAGGUGUUUGGGUCAGUGGGGGAUUCCUCGUGAAUUACUUGGUGCUGUCCUGGUGGGAAUUAGUCAGUUCUUGCUCUAUGAUCUGUAGUUUUAGUGGAGUGGUCAGGAAAGGUCUUACUGAGGAAGACCUUUGUACAUACAUGAAAAUUGUCCCUUGUUAUGCACGAAAUAUUUGUGUCUUCUCCAAACUGAUAUGUUGAAAUCCUAACCCCCAAUAUAAUGGUGUUUGAAGGUAGGGCCUUUGAUAAGCAAUUAGCGUUAGAUGUGGUCAUGACCGUGGGGACCUCAUAAUGGGAUUAGUACCCUUUAAAAAGAGAAGGAGGCAGGAGAUCUCUGUCUGCCCUCCUCUAUGUGAAGAUACAGUGAGAAGAUAGCCACAAAACAAUUUGCAAACCAGGAAGCAGGCCCUCACAGGAGACCAAAUCUGCUAGAGCCUUGACCUUGGACUUCCUGUCCUCCAGAAUUGUGAGACAUAAAUUAUUUUUUAAGCCAUUCAGUCUUUGGAAAUUUGUUAUAGUAGCUGAACUAAGACAACUCUGAUCCACCUCUCUUUGACACCUCCCACUCAACCAUUUGGUGUGCCCUCUAAUUACAUAGUGUAAUAUUUCUCAAUUUUAUUUCCUCCCUAACUACUAAUACCCAGGUUCAGACCUUAACAUCUCCUGUCUGGGUUACUGUAACAGUACCCUAUGGAAGUCUUCUUUGGAAGAAGAUUUAUUUCUUCCAAGGAAAUCUGCCUUUCUAUGGCUCAUUCCCUCCUGUCAUCUUCUUGUCUUCUCAAAUCAAUUUUCUACAAGGCCAUGUUAGAGAGUUAUCUGAAAGGCAUACCUGACCAUGUCAUUCUCCUAUUUAAGACUCAGCAAUGGUUUCCUUCUGCCAACAAGCUAAAGGCCGGAUGCCUUAACAAGGCAUUUCAUCCUCGUGUGGUCUGGCACUUGAUGACUGCCCCAACCCCAUCUCUCACCCAACUGGCCUUGACAUCAGUGUUCCAAAGUAGAAUUUCUCCCUCCAUAUGCAAUACCAUCCAGAAUGCUCAUAUCUCCCUGUUCAUGCCUGCGUCAAUCCUGUUUUUGAGUCAUCUUAGUAAUCACUUCCACUGGAUAAUUUUCAAAUUCUGUAUUAUGCACCCACCCCAGAUAGGCUGGGUGCCCUUGUCUGUGGUUCCAUGAAACUAUGUACACACAUUCUUCAAUCACAUUGUUUUCCACAUUGUUCUGAAAUGAUCCAGGAAGACCCCAUUCUCCCAAUGGACUAUGAAUUUUCUGAGCAGAGAAGCACAUCUUAUUCCUUUUUGCAUCUUGGCUGCAACCAAGUAAUCAGUGACUUCAUUUGUGUUCUGAUCCUCCCAUUCUCUUCUCCUCACUGAUCUCAGUAGGCUAACCAGGAUGAUUUAUAAUUUGCAGCUGAAAGACAGAGAUAGGAGACAGUCCUAUUUCAAGGCUGAUUUAAAUUCAGGUUAAAUGUCAGACAGUCACAGAUUCUUAGACUUGGCAUAACAAUUACAGGUAAUCUAAUGCAACAACCUACCAGACACUUGGAGGUCCUUCAACAUUUCUACAAGCUGUAGGGCUACGGAAUUCUUCAAGUAUGCUGUAAUACUGAUAGAAUAAGGAGAAUCUUCUGUUUACUAGAGGCUUUCUCUUUUCUGCUUUUCUCUGGUUCAGGAUGUCCUGUGUGAAAAUGAUGAAGCAGGAAAUUAUUUGUAUUAGAACACAUAUGUGUUUCCAUUCAGAUGCACACACAAACACACCGUGUAAGUUUAAAUCUGUAAGUUGCUUAAGAUGAUAAACAGCAAACUAUUACCUAAGAUGUUAAGCAUAAGUUGGAGACUGAGACAGUAACCAGAGAGAAAAUUAUUUGUAACUUGAAGUUAAAGCCAUCUGUCAAAGCAAAGCGCUAUGAGUAAAUAGCAAAUGGAUUGGUAGACUCCACAGGUGGAUGGCCAGAGACAAGACCCCACCCUGGCAAGAACCUGCCAGCUGGAACCAGCAGUCUGGACACCAGUCUAGCUCUAUAGCCAGAAGAGGGGACUGUGAGCCUAAUAUAAGCCAUGCCCCAUCAGAGUAGCCUCAAGUGCCAUGUUAGUCUUAGAGUUUUCUGAGCAACACCUUACUUACUUGCUGCUCAUACCCCAAUUGAAAUCAACACAUUUAAACCGCUUAAGCUUGCAUUUCACCUUUGGAGAAUCCCCAUCCUCUGAGUGCCUCCCUGUCUUCUCUUUUGCUUGCUGUUCUUGUGGAAAAUAGAGGUAUAUCUGUGGGUGAAAAUAAUAACAAACUCUUGAAGCAUCAGUAUUCUUUAAAUUUUGCCUUUGCCUCUUGUACUUGGUCUCUAAGUAGUGUGGGGUCAAAAUUGUUUUUUACAUAGUAAAGUAUGAAGAAGGAAACUGGCCAGGGAUGGUGGCUCACACCUGUAAUCCCAGAACUUUGGGAGGCUGAGGCGGGCAGAUCACCUGAGGUCAAGAGUUCGAGAAUAGCCUGACCAACAUGCUAAAACCCCGUCUCUACUAAAAAUACAAAAAAAUUAGCCAGGCGUGGUGGCGGGCUCCUGUAAUCCCAGCUACUCAAGAGGCUGAGGCAGGAGACUCACUUGAAUCCAGGAGGUGGAGGUUGCAGUGAGCCAAGAUUGUGCCAUUGCACUCCAGCCUGGGCAACAAGAGUGAAACUCAGUCUCAAAAAAAAAAAAAAAAAAAAAAAAGAAGUGGGAAACUUACUUUGUCCAGAGGUAAUUCAGUCCAUCACAGUAUAGCCAGUUUGGUAGCUAUUCCCUUAGUUGAGUUGAAAUUGCCUUUCUAUGGCUCACUGAUCCUAGUUCUAACCCAGGACCACAUAGAACAAGUUCAACAGGUCUGCCACAUAACUACCCUUUAAUAUUUCAAGGAAGCUUAUUUGUGUGAUCAGAAAUUACCGAACUCAAAUAUCAUGUGCAUAGUACGAUGCAGGCCCAUGGUAGUAUCCUUAUAAAUGGUCGAGUUGGCUGGGCACAGUGGCUCACGCCUGUAACCCCAGGAUUUUGGAAGGCCAAGGCGGGCGGAUCACUUCAGCCCAGGAAUUCAAGACCAGACUGGGCAACAUGGCAAAAUCCCAUCUCUACAAAAAAUAGCUGGGCAUGGUAGUGAGCACCUGUAGUCCCAGCUACUUGGGAGACUGAGGUGGGAGAAUUGCUUGAACCUAGGAGACAGAAGUUGCAGUGAGCUGAGAUUGCACCACUGCACUCCAGCCUGGGUAACAGUGUCAGACCCUGUCUCUAAGAAAAAAAAAGGUCAAGUUAUUAUUAGUUGCAUUAUCACACUGCCUUUGUGCCAUUUCAUCAUAAGUUAAGCUCUUUUAGGAAAGAGGUUGGCUGGUGUCAUAGAAAUGGAGGUUCCCACUUAAUACAUGUAUUAGGAGGUUCCCACCUAAUACAUCAGUUUUUUAUUUAAUAUAAUUUUUUUUUUGGAGAAAGGGUCUUGCUAUGUUGCCCAGGCUGGAAUGCAGUGUGCGAUCAUAGCUCACUGUAGCCUCCAACUCCUGGGCUCAAGCCAUCCUUUUGCCUCAGCCUCCCGAAGUUCUGGGAUUACAGGCAUGAGCCACCAUGCCUGGCCUACAUCAACAACUUCGUAUGUAAAUGUUAGACACCAGGAUACUGGCUAACAGGAAGUGUUCUUCCUUUACCCUCCACUACCUCUGUCUUACCAUUGUUUUUUGUUUUGUUUUUAUUUUUGUUUUCCACCUAAGACAACAGAAGAGGUGAUUUACUGUAUACCUGUAACACUUGGCCACAACUGAACACAGAAACAGUCCAGAAUAUCACAGAUCCAGGAAAAAGGAUAAAUAGGAACUGUUUUGAUGCGAGCAAGGUGAGACUCUCAGAACUUCCCUCUCAGAGGCGGUCUUGGUGAUCAGAUGGCUAUGGAAGUUCUAGGUCAGUUGAGAGACAAUCUCUAGAGAGUAGCAUGCAGUCCAACAACUUGUACCAGCAUCCCCAGUCUCUGGCGUCCCAUGUUUCUGUUCCUGUGAAAUGCAUCUCCACGGGUGCACAAAUUGGGAGUUUAGUUGGACCUCAGUCUCAUCUUUCUUCUUUUGCGCUUCAGCCUAUGCAUUCGCUUCUUGGCUCUCACAGCGGAGAGGCUUCCAAGAAGAUGGCGCUAAAAUGGAGAGCCUUACCAUUGUUGAGUGCCAAAUCAUCCUUGAAGACUUAACUCAGUUUACCUCCUCUUUGUUUCCUCCCUCCUCCCAGGAGAACUGACUACUCCAUUUCUUCCCUUGAAUUGAGACUGAAUACUGCCUGUAUUUCUAUGUGGUCUAUCCCACUGCCCUCAUCUAGAAUACUGAACUUCUCUUGGUAUUUCUAGUUUCAAACAGAGUGCCUGGAACAUAGUAUGUGAUAAAUAUUUACUGAAUAAGUGUAAUUUUUGAGAGUAUCA